GUGCCAGCAGCCGCGGUAAUACGUAGGUGGCAAGCGUUAUCCGGAAUUAUUGGGCGUAAAGCGCGCGUAGGCGGUUUUUUAAGUCUGAUGUGAAAGCCCACGGCUCAACCGUGGAGGGUCAUUGGAAACUGGAAAACUUGAGUGCAGAAGAGGAAAGUGGAAUUCCAUGUGUAGCGGUGAAAUGCGCAGAGAUAUGGAGGAACACCAGUGGCGAAGGCGACUUUCUGGUCUGUAACUGACGCUGAUGUGCGAAAGCGUGGGGAUCAAACAGGAUUAGAUACCGCUGUAGUGCAGGGCG
rnacentral:rRNA from 1 species